rnacentral:misc_RNA from 1 species
UUUCCGUAGUUGAACCUGCGGAAGGAUCAUUACAGCCUAACCUGGCCGUUCGCGGCCGGCUCCCCGUCCUCUGUCAUGCGAAUCUAGCGCUAUUACUUCCCCGGAGGUGUUGCGCAGGCCCUCAAAAAGCCUGCGUGACCGCCUGGGGUCUUUUUUGCAAACUCUUUGUAAGAAGCGUGAAGUCUGAAUUUUAUAUACCAAAAAAAGCAAAACUUUCAACAACGGAUCUCUUGGCUCUGGCAUCGAUGAAGAACGCAGC